GCCCCCGUAGCUCAGUGGAUAGAGCGAUCCCCUCCUAAAGACAAUUGGGCAGCGGCUGCCGAAAGGCGCCGCGUGAAUGGAGUCAAAUUCGGUGAACCCUGACAGCGCCUGGUCCCUGCGACUGCGCGGCUGCUGGCAAUACCGAGCCAAGCCGGUCUCCGAGAUGGAUGGAAACCGGAAGGUGUAGAGACUAGACGGCUCCGGCCUGCAGGCAUGUGCGGUAUCAGGCACAGGCCCAUGGCCAAGGUAUAGUCCAGACCACAAACGUUCUCCGGUGGCGAAAGCCAUAGUGGUAUGAAGGGAUAGGUCACACGUUCGAUCCGUGUCGGGGGCGCCA
rnacentral:tRNA from 1 species